GGGCCCGCACAAGCGGUGGAGCAUGUGGUUUAAUUCGAAGCAACGCGAAGAACCUUACCAGUCCUUGACAUGGGUAGUUUGGUUAUUGGAGACAAUUUCCUUCAGUUCGGCUGGCUACCACACAGGUGCUGCACGGCUGUCGUCAGCUCGUGUCGUGAGAUGUUGGGUUAAGUCCCGCAACGAGCGCAACCCUCAUCUUUAGUUGCCAUCGGUUCGGCCGGGCACUCUAAAGAAACUGCCUGCGAUGAGCAGGAGGAAGGCGGGGACGACGUCAAGUCAUCAUGGCCCUUAUGGACUGGGCUACACACGUGCUACAAUGGCGGUGACAACAGGCAGCGAAGGGGUGACCUGGAGCAAAUCCUAAAAAGCCGUCCCAGUUCGGAUUGUACUCUGCAACUCGAGUACAUGAAGUUGGAAUCGCUAG
rnacentral:rRNA from 1 species